rnacentral:rRNA from 1 species
UACGAAGGGGGCUAGCGUUGCUCGGAAUCACUGGGCGUAAAGCGCACGUAGGCGGAUCUUUAAGUCAGGGGUGAAAUCCCAAGGCUCAACCUUGGAACUGCCUUUGAUACUGGGGAUCUCGAGUCCGGAAGAGGUUGGUGGAACUGCGAGUGUAGAGGUGAAAUUCGUAGAUAUUCGCAAGAACACCAGUGGCGAAGGCGGCCAACUGGUCCGGAACUGACGCUGAGGUACGAAAGCGUGGGGAGCAAACGGG